CGCUGACUGCCGGGAUCGCUUUGGCCGCUCUUCCCCAUCGUCCUGUCUGCAGGAAUGGGCUGCAUGUUUCCACGUGGAUCGGGUCUGAAUUGGCUGUCUGAACCCAGAGAUUAAAGAAACAGCAGCCUCUCUCUCUCCUGUAACUGGCCCGAGAAUCCAUGAGCAUCCUCAGAAGUCUGAAGAGAAUGGGCAUCCUGUCUAUAUCCAAGGCAGGUAAUCACUGUAAAGGGUGGCUGGAAGGGCAAAAGCUGCAUUUCCCCACGCUGGGGGCUGCGGAGGAGGCAGAGGCAGAUACCUGGGGCUCCCUGGCAGCGCUUGCUGAAGAUCAGCCUUGAUCAGAACAGGUCUUCUCACAGGAAACAUCAACUUUUUGUCAAAAAAGCCUGAAGAUAAAUAUUCUUGGAUGAAAACCUAUAAAAAGCUCAGACUGAC
rnacentral:lncRNA from 1 species